GAUGAACGCUGGCGGUAUGCUUAACACAUGCAAGUCGAACGGACUCUUCGGAGUUAGUGGCGGACGGGUGAGUAACGCGUGAGAAUCUGGCUUUGGGUUCGGGACAACCACUGGAAACGGUGGCUAAUACCGGAUGUGCCGAGAGGUAAAAGAGAAAUUGCCUGAAGAUGAGCUCGCGUCUGAUUAGCUAGUUGGUGAGGUAAAGGCUCACCAAGGCAGCGAUCAGUAGCUGGUCUGAGAGGAUGACCAGCCACACUGGGACUGAGACACGGCCCAGACUUCCUACGGAGGCAGGAAGUGGGAAAUUUUCCGAAAUGGGGAAAGGCUUACCGAGGCAUUACGCGUGAGGGAAGAAGGCUCUUGGGUUGUAAACCUCUUUUCUUAGGGAAGAACAAAAUGACGGUACCUAAGGAAUCAGCAUCGGCUAACUCCGUG
rnacentral:rRNA from 1 species